CAGACAUCUGGCAUAUUCCUAUAAUCAGUAUCAUGGCCUUUGUAUACAACAAAAUUGAUUGGAACUCCUAGACUAGAAAUAUAAUUCAAGAUUUAAAUAAGGCACUGGUCAUAGUUUUAGAAAGUGUGGCUAGCAUUCUGAAGGAAGACAGAGAGAUGGAAAGACAUCAAAGAAUGGGCAGGUCUGCCAAGAAAUGGUUUAUCCAGGGCUAAGUACAGAGAGGAAUAUAGAAGGGCUGUUGACAGAUCUUGUGUGGUGCCCCCAUGGUUCAACAGACUAAUUGAUUGAAAAUAAUACCAGGGUUAUGCUCCUUUGACCAUUGAGUUCCAGGAUGAAGAAUGAAAGACAGAGAGCAAUGUGAAGACAUGAAAGAAUGGGCAGGUCUGCCAUGAAAUGGUUUAUCCAGGGCUAAGUACAGAGAGGA